rnacentral:ncRNA from 1 species
CAAUUCUUUCGGGGCAGGGUGUAAUUCCCAACCGGCAGUGAUAAAGCCUGCGACCUGCUAACAUUUGUUAGUGGCUGAUCUAGUGAGAAUCUAGAGCCGACAGUUAAAGUCUGGAUGGGAGAAAGAAUGA